CCCGAGGUUGUUCCCGCUGGGCUGUUGGCAGCCGCUCCGCUGCGCCUCUGGGCAGACGCCGGCCGGGUUUGUGCCGGGAUCCGGAGCCCCCGGGUGCGCCGCAGGCUCCUUCCACUGCAUCCGGGAAACGGCCUCGCCCUCUCCGGCCCGUGACUGCCGGGGGAACAGGUUCGAUCCCUGGUCGGGAAACUAAGCUCCUGCAAGCCGAGCACUGCCAAAAGAAAAAGAAAAAGAAAAAAAAAAGUAGGUGUGGUUCUAUUUGGGACCUAAGUGGGAAAGAUUUUGUACCCUGAUAAAGAAUGGGAGGGGGUGUGGGAGGGGAAGCGGCCACCUCCCUUUUCUUCUUGGAGCUCUGGUGGUGGGAGGAUGAAAUCAGAGGAGCAGCCAUCUCUCCGUGGACAGGCAAUGCUGGCGAGGGCUAGAAGAACAGGCCUUGAUAACAUUGUUUAGCUGCGGGACAAACCCUGGAAACCACCUACCUGCAGACUUAUGGUUCAGUGAGGGAAUAACUGACCUUGUUUAAGGCACUUUCGAUCAGUAUUCUGUUACUUGGAGCUGAUCACUUCCUGAUUAAGAUACCCACUCAGGAGGUGUUCUGGGCAUCUCUGCUCUGCGCCUUUGUGCCUGCUGGUCCCUUUCCCUAGGAUGCUCUCUCCCUAAAAUGAUCUGAAUUCUGCUCACCUUUUCAGGGCCAACAAGGGUACACUGAGAAGCCUUCCAUUAGCCUGAGCCAAAAGCAUCCUCUCCCUUCUCUCAAGCAUGUGACUCAUAUCUCCCUCAUAGUACAAACAUGAACCAUAAGCUUUUGGGGGGUUUUUCGGCUUUUGACCGUGUGUUUUUGUCUCCUUAUUUGACUCUACAUUUUCCCGAGGUGACCUGGAAACUACCAACUAGAAUAUAUCAAAAAUCCACUCCUGGUGGCUCAACAGUCCUGGAGACAGAGGAGCUCAUGGUGUGCUCAGACUCUGGAAUCAGUCAGUCCCGUGUUUUAACCCAGCAAAGCAGCGGUGUGAACUGGGGCAAGUGACAUCACCUCUCUGAGCCGC